rnacentral:rRNA from 1 species
UGCCGCGUGAGUGAUGACGGCCUUAGGGUUGUAAAGCUCUUUCGCCCGGGACGAUAAUGACGGUACCUGGAUAAGAAGCCCCGGCUAACUUCGUGCCAGCAGCCGCGGUAAU